rnacentral:rRNA from 1 species
ACGGGUGAGUAACACGUGGGUGAUCUGCCCUGCACUCUGGAAUAAGCUUGGGAAACUGGGUCUAAUACCGGAUAUGACCACAGCAUGCAUGUGUUGUGGUGGAAAGAUUUAUCGGUGCAGGAUGGGCCCGCGGCCUAUCAGCUUGUUGGUGGGGUAAUGGCCUACCAAGGCGACGACGGGUAGCCGACCUGAGAGGGUGACCGGCCACACUGGGACUGAGACACGGCCCAGACUCCUACGGGAGGCAGCAGUGGGGAAUAUUGCACAAUGGGCGGAAGCCUGAUGCAGCGACGCCGCGUGAGGGAUGAAGGCCUUCGGGUUGUAAACCUCUUUCAGCAGGGACGAAGCGUGAGUGACGGUACCUGCAGAAGAAGCACCGGCUAACUACGUGCCAGCAGCCGCGGUAAUACAUAGGGUGCGAGCGUUGUCCGGAAUUACUGGGCGUAAAGAGUUCGUAGGCGGUUUGUCGCGUCGUUUGUGAAAACCCGGGGCUCAACUUCGGGCUUGCAGGCGAUACGGGCAGACUUGAGUGUUUCAGGGGAGACUGGAAUUCCUGGUGUAGCGGUGAAAUGCGCAGA